UCAGAAUUUCCUUAAAUCUGAAUAUCUUAUUGGUGGUUUUUAUUUAUAAUUGUUAUCAUUAGUAUUCAUUUUCUUAUAGGUCAAUAGGAAAUGCAAAAGGUCUAGUUAAUAGCUGAAUCUUAAGAGCGCUAUCCACAAGACAAACUACUGUAAACGCUUCAGCUGGAGAACUGAACCGCAGGAAACAGGCAGAAGAAACAAAAGUGGGUCACUGAAGAUUGAAUAGAGAGCAUCUCAAAAAACAUCAGUAUGUCAUCUCUACUAGUUCCCAGUCACAGGAAGCCACAAAUGUGGUACUCAGAAGGGAAUGGAGACUCAGGUGCCAACAAGGUUCAACACAGAACUAUUAUUAAACUCCUGAAGGUCUCUGGAAUUUGGAUUUUAGGGUCAUGCCUCAAUGUACAUACGCUCAGAAAAGCUAUCAGACUCGUUCUGACUCACGGUGUCCUAAGCUAACCUCACAUUUUCGCAGAAGAAAACAUCUGCAAAAAGUCUAAGGACAGAACUUCCAAGAUGAAAAUAUGAAUU